rnacentral:rRNA from 1 species
UACGUAGGGACCAAGCGUUGUUCGGAUUUACUGGGCGUAAAGGGCGCGUAGGCGGCGCGACAAGUCAGUUGUGAAAUCUCCAGGCUUAACUCGGAAAGGUCAACUGAUACUGCAGGGCUAGAGUGCAGAAGGGGCAACUGGAAUUCUCGGUGUAGCGGUGAAAUGCGUAGAUAUCGAGAGGAACACCUGCGGCGAAGGCGGGUUGCUGGGCUGACACUGACGCUGAAGCGCGAAAGCCAGGGGAGCGAACGGG